GUCAUUGAUACACAUGCUAUAAACAUGUUUUCAGAGUAGUCGUGUAUAUACUGAACCACCAAGAAAAGUAACGGUCAGAAAGACGGCUGCAUAGGACACUGGUUCAAUCAUUCACACAGUCAAAAUGAGGAAGUAUCAUCGAUUAUGAAGAUUCAAGCUAAAUAGAUUACCUGUACUCGCAUUGCUCAAAAUCUGUCUAUGGGGACAUUAUUCUUGGACUGAAUAUAAACAAGAUAGAAGCUAAACUGAUAGUCUAAAGGAACAAGGACUCACGGUGCUUCAUAAUUCAACCGGUGACAUGGUGGUCAUUUUAUCUGUUACUACAUUACCAUCUAAUACAAGUUUGACAUCGGGAAACAGGAAGUGUUAAGCACUGGAUAAAGAACGCAUUUUCAAAGAUGUCAUUCUUACUAUUUUCGAUGGAGUUGACAUUAGGUCAGAUGCCUUUGACCUUAGUACCAGAGCUGGAAAACUGAACGUCUUAAAUAGUAUCAAGAUAUAUUUGGGGAAGUUAAGGCAGCUGAAAAUGAAGAUCAAGUGACAAAGAGAAUUAAGUCAGGCAUUCUGACGGGACCACGAGGACCAGGAUACCGCGGUGAUAUAAAUGGCUGCACAAGAAAAAAACAGUAAAAAUAUGCACAGGGAAAAAAGGUCUGGUAGACUGGCUAAACAUACACCAACCCAACCUUUUUAUAAGGCAAAAGGUAAGAUUAUUUAUCGCUACCAAUCAUGUAAAUCACAGCACAACAUAGACAUAGAAAAUACAAAUUAAAAAAAAUUAACCCUCAUGGAAGACACAUAUAAAGCACCUUUCAGAGAAUAACAUUUAAAUGGUAUUAACAAUAAACAAUUGAAAUUUAGGUUGGGGAAUCCAAUUUUGAGAAAAAUAUAUUGCCCAUAUUUUUUGUUUUUGUUUUUUUUUGUAGACCCUUAGUUUUGUUGUAUGUUUUUUUUUUUUUUUUUUUUUUUUUUUUUUUUUGUAGACCCUUAGUUUUGUUGUAUGUAUGUGGCAGAGUUCAGUAAACUUACAGUCUGUCAAUUGUAGAUUUCAUGAUUCACAUCUAUAGUAGAUCAUGCACUGAUUAUGUCUUUAGAAAAGGCCUGCUAUUUACACGUUGGGGUGAAAUUGGCUAAGGGCUGAAUUACCUUUAAAGAUAGGCGAAGGAAGAGGGUUGCAUAUCUAGCAUAACCAAUUUAU